UUUAAUUAGCAAGUUGAAUAUUACAAAUUACAUAUUUAGUUAGCAAGCUUAACAUUUAAUUUCCCUUUGGAAUUAAUAAAGUAUUUUUGAAUUGAAUUGAACUGAAUUUAAGUUUCUUUGUUUGGGAAAGGGGUUAUUUUAACGUCACAACCUAAAGGAUCCACUAGGGGGACUCGCAUGUUUUUUUUCUGCACUCAAUACACAUGAGUGAAAGGAGAAGCACUGAUACGGUCUCCUGUGAUCAUUGUCUUGCACUUUUUCCCUUCUUUUAAGGUCCUCUCCAUUAAACCUGAAGUCAUUCCUCACUCCAUGCGUAGUUGUUUCUGCUGGGACUUCCAGACCUUUGAGAGGCCUGUCUGUACUUUUGGAUCAAGGAAGAGUUUCGUCGUAUAAAAACUAUUUCGCUGGAAGAGACAUUUAUGCGAAAACUUGAACUUGAAGGAUCGAGGAUGUGCCCUCUCCUGGACACAAUAAAUCAGUCACAGAGUGUGGAGAAAAAAAAGGGAUGUCGUCAUCUGUUGUCUUAUUGAGUACCUUGGGGAAAAACAAGAAGAGCUCUUCCAAGACUGCCAGGACCACACAGACCAAACCAUGAAGGUACUUGUGAUUCAUAAUCCUUUGGCAGAGGAGGAUCCAGCUGAAGUGUCUGUGGUGAUUGAGGGAAACAGGGUGCUGAAUGGGUUUGGUAACCGAACCAAAGCCUGUAUGCUGUUGAUGGGUCUGAUCUACGGUCUCAACCUCGAGUAUCCCAAGAUGCUCAAGAACACGUUUGCUGUAUUCCAGAAAAUCUUUCUGGAGCUUGAUGGAGCAAAGCUGCCCAGGAAGGUCCAUAGCCUCAAAGGCAAACUGGAAUGUACUUAAUUUCUUAUGGUUGUUUCAUCAUGCCACAAGAAAGACCAUUUGACUUAAUUAUAGAAACUUGUUUCAGGUUUUUAUAUUUAGAAAAUAUGUCUUUGUUCUGUUCAUUUGGUUUCCUGGUUCCCAGUGAUGUUCAUGGCAAUGCCAUCUGCAAAAAUCCUCUCCCUGGUACAGACAAAAAAGAGUGGAUACUUAAAAGUGACCAGUUAAAACUGAUUACAGUGUUUCAUGGUCCUCUAAACAGAAAAUGUUAAGCUACUGAUUGAUUAAGUAUUAGGGUCUCCUUUUUGGGUAAAAACUGUCUGAUUGAGGUUCUUUGACUGAAAGUUUGAUGUUUUACAGAUUAUUGGAAUUUUUCAAUUUUGGAAAAAAAAAUCAACAUUUUCUUUUUUAUUUUCACUGUAUAAAAAAAGUCAGCAGUAUGAAUAUUGCAUCCUUCCACUACCAUCUUGAUUUUUGAUUCACAUUAGCCCAUUUGGGUAUAAGCAAUGUUAAUUACUGGUGAAAAGAUGAGGAAUGUAUCUUAACCAAUGUUUUGUGAAAUGAAAUGUAGCACAGUUCUGAG